CAAUGUUCAAGCUAGUGGUUUCGGAACCUAGUUACUUAGCUUAAAGUUUGGUUGUAUUUGCAUUGCCUUGUACCAUGUUUGGGCUUCUGCUGCCCCUGUGUGGGUCUUAGUCUACGGAGACAUCCUGUUGCCUAUCGGCUUAGCUAACCACCGACAUGCCUGCGUCUGUUGGUCUUGUAUCAUGGUUUCUUAUCUACUCCCUCUGUUUCUUAAUAUUGUAUAUUCUAGGAUUUUCACAGUUUUUAAGAAAGUUGUUGAAAUGUCUAUUUUAACCUUUUAUCAUUACUAUUAAAAAAAUAUCGUAACAAAGAAAUCUAUGUUUAAACAAAAAGUGAUCGAUUAACUGUAUCAUUAUUUUGUGUCAUUAUGUUCCGUUCCCCAUAUUUAAGAUCCCUAUAUUCCAUAUUUAUUGUAGUCAACAUUCCAAUGAUGAAACUUUACAUUUUUUUACUUACUAAUUCACGUACAUAAUGCGAACUUCUUUAAAAAAAAAAUUUGAUCACCUUCUUUCAUAUUCAUUUUUUCUUUCACCAUCUUUUCCAAAAAAACUCAUGAACUUUAUAAAGAAAAAAGAGUUUUUUAUGAGAUAAGUAGAAAGGAAUAAUUUUAUAGAAUACGAUUAGAACUUUUACAUAGAUAUAAUAAUCAAUAGAAAACAAAAAUAAUAAUAAGUGAGGACAAAACAGACAAACUCAGACCAAAUUUGCAUAGAAAACUGAGAACAUACAUCUUUUUAAAACAAUUUUUUUUUCCAAAACAUGCAUCUUUAAGGAACGGAGGGAGUAUAAUUUAGCCAGGUGACAAAAAAAAAAACAAACUGAAGAUUCAGAGUUUCAAAUAAAAUGCCAUUAUUUUCAGAAUUUUGUUAAUUUAAUUUACUUAUUAUUCAUCAAAGCUCACAAACUAAGAGACAUGAAAAGGAUAAACGUAAAAGUUAACGAAUGUGUGAGUUUCACAACUUUACUUUAGAUGAAAACGAAAUGAUUGGGUAGAAACAAUUCCACCUGUAAAACAGAGAGUGGAAGAGACGCUCCAGUACGAGCAUACUCUUUAUAGAAACUAAUCUCUGAAGUUAUGAAUACAAAGCAAAUCUCAAACUCAAAGUACAUAUACUUACUUGACACGCGUUGAUAUACAGCUGUAUCCCAAGUUCCCAACCGUUUUUCCUGCAAGAUUCUCUGCUCUCAAAGCUCGAUAUUAACCUCACACAGACGCUGUUCAGACAAAUGCACUUUUCAAUCGCGGACGUUUUCUAAAAUAUUUGUUACAAUUCUACAAAACGCAAUGUUUGAAUUUUUUAUCUAUUUUCAAUUUCAAAAUUUGAUUGAUGAAAUUUAUAACUAUAUAAUACAUUAAGUAACUUGCCUAACAAAUUAACUAAUCAAGUGUUAAAUUAGUUAGCCUUUUGCGUUAAAUUAGUUAAUUUCAUCAAAAUUUUGACUGAAUUAGUCAAAGACGUAACGAGUAGGUUAGUAACGAUCAUAGUUAUCCGUUGAUAUAGUUCUGUAUUUAUAGACAAAACGGUUUUCUUUGCUUAAGUUACAAUAAAUUAUAUUUUUUAUGCAGUUAAAGAACUAUUCAAAAAUUACAAACUGCAUAGUUUUAAGUUUUAACUACUUCAAUAAUUUUCUUGUACUCCCUCCGUUUUUUUAUAUAUGACGCUUUACGAUUGUGCACAUAGAUUAAGAAACAUUUAAUUUCUAAACAAAAACAUCAUUAAUUGUUUACCUAACCACAAUUUAACCAAUAAUAAAAUAGAAACUAUAAUAUCAUUGGUCAUCUAGUAUUAAUUAGUAAUAAAUUUUACAUAGAAAAUUGAAAACGUCAAAUAAUUUGGAACAAAAAAAUUUCUCUAAAACGUCAUAUAUAAAAAAACGGAGGGAGUAUGUUUUAUCGAGUAUGAAAGAUUACCUGUUGAAGCGGUAACCCCUUCGCCACUCCCUUCUCGUAUAAAUACUCUCUCUAGCUUGCUCUUAUCCUCUCUUAAAACCUUUUGUCCCAACAAAACAAAAACUCUUAUAACGACCAAAAAAAACAGAACACAACAAAACAUCCAACGAUGUCAAGUUCGGUCCGAAAGAACAUGGAGCGGAUUAAAGGUCCAUGGAGUCCAGAAGAAGACGAACUAUUACAGAGUCUGGUGCAGAAGCACGGUCCAAGAAACUGGUCUCUGAUCAGCAAAUCUAUCCCCG
rnacentral:lncRNA from 1 species